GCCUUUGUGACGAAAUUGGUAGACGUGUCAGUCUUAGGAACUGAAGCUGAGAAGCGUGCCGGUUCGAAUCCGGCCAAAGGCA
rnacentral:tRNA from 1 species